AAGAUAGUUACUCCAAAAAUGCAAAUCAAAAUUUGAACUUCACCAGCUGAAGUUGCAAUGUCCAAUUUGAAAGUAAAAUUUGCAAGCCCUCUGUUAAAAUUAAAAUUCAAACUAAAUGGAGUUACAAAUUCCUAAUUAUAAACUAUGUCACACACAUGUAUUUGGAACAAACUACAAUUGCCGACACCUAUGUCACAUACAAGUAUUCGGAUGUUUUGCUAAACAAUUCUAAGAAGAUCCAGCUCGUGGUGGUACAUUGUGGAACUAUUCAAAUUCAGUACUCCCUUGGUCUCUCACCAGCUGACCAACCAACCAAGAAAAUCCUUUAGAUUUCAUACAUUCAUACAGAUCAGAUCACACACAAAUCUGCUGAGAGAUUCAGUGGUGAGAUAUUUUGAAUUAUAUAAUUUGUAAUACAAGAGUGAGAGAGCUAUAACCUGGUCCUGGUGAACAUGAUGGAGAGGAUGCUGACAUGAAACCCAAAUUCAAGAAUCGGGAGUAUAGAUUAGGGAAUUUUGAGUAUAUUAAAAAAUGGUCCUUGAGUUUAGUUGAUUUUUUUUUCAGUUUUGGAGUGUCCAUAACUUUGUGUGUGCCAAACUCCAUAUUUCACUUCAAAGUGUGUCCAUAACCUUGAUUUUUGACCCUGCAACAUGAAGAUAACCGGUUUUCAUCUUAUGCAUCCUUUUACCAAAUGAGCCUUUAAAGUUAAGAAAGUAGACAAACCAUUGUAUUACAUAUUACAGGGACGGGAUGAAAUAUAGAAUGAUAGAGGGUAAAAAUGGCAAUAUAAGAAUAUCUAGAAUAAGGGUGUGAGAUAGAACAAUAGAGGGUAAUAUGGUAAUUUGUUGUUUUCAACAAUUCCAUUGAAGUUUUCUCUCCUAUCAGGGUCUCUUAACGCCAUUAACAUGUGUUAUUAACAAAGAUUUAAUGUAAAAAUAUGAAAUUAGUCAUUGCAAAUAGGAUUUCAACCUUCAAAACUUAAGAACCAAGUUCAACUAAUUCUCAAAAUUCCUUAAAAUCACAUUACAUAUCAAAGUAAAACUGAUAGUUUGAGAUCAUAAAGAACGAAUUCACAUGCAGUGCAAAAAGAAAAAAGAAAACAAAUGCAAUUUAACAUGCAAUUGAUAAAUUCAAUAUUAUUUGAACCACAAAAGUUUAUAUUUAAAAAUUCAAGCGUCAAUAUUAUAAAACCCCAUCUAAUUAACGAAUCAUAAUUCUUAAUUUGAAGAAAAAACCAAUAAUUUAUGACAGAAUUACAUCAGAGUACUUCGUUGUUAGUCUCUUAUUUUAUCACCUAAAUAUAUUAAACCAUAAUUAUUAAAAUCAAGAUUUUUAAGAAAGAAAGAGCGGAUAAGAAAAGAAAAUACUCUCUUUUGAGAAGCAUCUAUGUUACCACCUUUGAGAAGCAUCUUUCAAUAUAAUCUUGGGGGUUUCAGCUGCUGCCACUAUCCAUGAAGCUCUGUGUAGGCUCUGUUGUAGAUACUGAGUCAGUAGUAUGAAAAGAAAAUUAAACAAAAAAGUUGGAUUUAUAGAACUUGGUCAAGAGGACAAUGGCAAAUGAGUCAAAUAUAUCUUAAAAGCAAAACAACUAUCCCAUCAACAAAAAAUUUAAUAUGAUAACAGUUAAUACAACCUAUUAUAUAAAUAGGAAACCCUAACCCCCAAAUCAACCCAAUCAAAAUUUUAUGUACGAAAUGAAUAGAAAUACAUCUAAAUUUUCAUCAGAUACAUGGCAUAAGUUUUUCUUAUGAAUCUAUUAGAUGAGAAACUUACAAGAUCUUUGGUGUUGACAAAUCUCUUUGUACGUAUGCUCCAGGAAAAAAUACAAGAUAGAUGUGAGCAAUUGCUUACCUUAAUAUCGGUGUUGGGAGUGAAAGAAAGACAGAACAAUUGCUUACCUUCGACAUCGACUGAUAAAAUAUGGAAGAGAAAAGGAUGAGGGUAGAGGUGGUAGUGGUGGUUGCGUUAAUUGGCGUUGAAGGUGGUGGUAGCAACUUCGAUUAGGCUUCGAUUCACGGUGGUGUUAAGAAAUUUCAAUGCCAAGCAUCUUCCAAUGGAUGCUAAUGUUUGAACCAAAUAGAAACACGGUGGGAUAAAUAGAUGAAGAUAAAGAAAUUUCAAAAAAAUACAUCUAUCCUUAAAUCACGAAGGUUCAUUUUCAAUAAUCAAAUUGAAGAGAUGAUGUUGCCCCGCUAGUGAAGUUGUUCAAGCAGAUGAUUUUGUCUACGUUUCUCUCCAAAUCACGAUAUGAUAAGUUUUGAUUUAAAAAAAAAUGACUCGCCUGUUCUUCCUGGGGCGGCAAUGGGAUCGAAAGUAGAAAACAUGUCUCCAUCUGUUUGAUCGUUCUCCCUUUCAACUCCCAUAAAAGUCGUAAUCGUUUGGUUGAAUGUGUGCAAUUCUGAAGGUUGAUUUUGACCUAAAAAAUCUUGAUUGAGUGGAACAGGCAACAAACAGAUUGUUGGGUGUAGAGAGAUAAUCGACCAGAUGAUUGAGUAUGUAUGCAGUGGUGAACAAUGAUGGUGGUUGAGGCAAAGCGGCAAUCGGCGACGUAGCAGAAGGCCAAAGGCUGAGUUUUUUGUCAAGAUGAUGUAAUCACCUGUGGUAGAGGUCGACGGCUAGGGUUUCUAGAGAGACUUAUGCCAGAUCAGUGUGAUGAGGGAGUGAUGGGUAGCUUGUAUUUGAAUGUAUCUAUAUAUAUGAACAAUGAACAAAAAUACCAAGAUAUGCGGAAAUGCUCAGAUAAGAUAAUGAGCAGGUCAAAACUCAAAACAAUAACGCCUUGAUAACAGGGGCGAUAGGAAUACUAAUUCAUUAUCCCUUCCUUGACUUUUUUAACUAUUGACGGACUUCUUACUUAUCCUUAUAUACUAAAUGUUAUACUAAAUUUUGACCGGAUUAUAUUUAAAGCAUAAAAUCAUUGUACAUGAAGCAAUAAAGUUU
rnacentral:lncRNA from 1 species